rnacentral:rRNA from 1 species
GAUCCUGGCUCAGGAUGAACGCUGGCGGCGUGCCUAAUACAUGCAAGUCGAACGAGGUGCUUUGUAGCAAUACGGAGUAUCCUAGUGACGAACGGGUGAGUAACGCGUUGGUGGCCUACCCCAAAGUGUGGGAUAACAGUCCGAAAGGAUUGCUAAUACCGCAUGUGGUCCUCGGGUUUAGAAACCGGUGACUAAAGGAGCAAUUCGCUUUGGGAGGGACCUGCGUCCCAUCAGCUAGUUGGUGAGGUAACGGCUCACCAAGGCGACGACGGGUAGGGGACCUGAGAGGGUGGCCCCCCACAAUGGAACUGAAACACGGUCCAUACACCUACGGGUGGCAGCAGUAGGGAAUAUUGGUCAAUGGGCGAAAGCCUGAACCAGCAACGCCGCGUGUGCGAUGAAGGCUUCGGGUCGUAAAGCAUUUUUGGAGUAUGAGAAAGGACAGUAUCCCAGAAUAAUCGGGCUAAACGUGC